CGCAGCCCCGCCUCCCAUGGGGACCUGGCCUGAGGAGCAGGGGCGGGAACUUAGAGACUAAGGCAGCGCGAAAGCAUCUGGUGUGUUCUAGCUUCCCUGAACAUGGUGAGCAAAAGCUGCCUCCCCACAGCACCUCUGGGACCCUCUGACGAGCCAGGUGCAUGCCUGGCCCAAGACAAGAUGCCUGGGCUUCCCUGCAGGUACCUGACCUGGGAGGGACAUGGCUACUGGGCAGUACAAGAUGCGGGCUCUCCUCCUUCUGGUCUCUGGGGACACGGGUUCGAGCCCUGGUCUGGGAAGAUCCCAUAUGCCGCGGAGCAGCUGGGCCCGUGAGCCACAAUUACUGAGCCUGCGCGUCUGGAGCCUGUGCUCCACAACAAGAGAGGCCGUGACAGUGAGAGGCCCGCGCACCAUGAUGAAGAGUGGCCCCCGCUUGCCACAACUAGAGAAAGCCCUCGCACAGAAACGAAGACCCAAC